GGCGGCGGGAGAGCGCGUGGAGGAUGUCGGCGCGGCGGUGUAGAGGCCUUGGGAGUGAUCCUGCCCACGAAGAAGAAGGACGGCGGACACGGCGCCGAUGACCAAGACGAAGGCGAAGGAGAGGAGACGUCUUCCACCCCACGCUCGAUCAGCGACCUCCACGGGACGCUCCUCACGUUCGGGCCGUCGGUCGAGGCGGAGGCGCCAUCGGUCGCGGCGGUCGCGGCGUGGGAGGGCGCCAACAGGAGGGACGACGUAGUCCAUGGCGUGCGGUGGUGGGCGGAGGAGGGCUGGCAGGGGAGGAAAGAUGGAAGAG
rnacentral:lncRNA from 1 species